UCAGGAUGAACGCUGGCGGCGUGCCUAAUACAUGCAAGUCGAACGAGUUCUCGUUGAUGAUCGGUGCUUGCACCGAGAUUCAACAUGGAACGAGUGGCGGACGGGUGAGUAACACGUGGGUAACCUGCCCUUAAGUGGGGGAUAACAUUUGGAAACAGAUGCUAAUACCGCAUAGAUCCAAGAACCGCAUGGUUCUUGGCUGAAAGAUGGCGUAAGCUAUCGCUUUUGGAUGGACCCGCGGCGUAUUAGCUAGUUGGUGAGGUAAUGGCUCACCAAGGCGAUGAUACGUAGCCGAACUGAGAGGUUGAUCGGCCACAUUGGGACUGAGACACGGCCCAAACUCCUACGGGAGGCAGCAGUAGGGAAUCUUCCACAAUGGACGCAAGUCUGAUGGAGCAACGCCGCGUGAGUGAAGAAGGCUUUCGGGUCGUAAAACUCUGUUGUUGGAGAAGAAUGGUCGGCAGAGUAACUGUUGUCGGCGUGACGGUAUCCAACCAGAAAGCCACGGCUAACUACGUGCCAGCAGCCGCGGUAAUACGUAGGUGGCAAGCGUUAUCCGGAUUUAUUGGGCGUAAAGCGAGCGCAGGCGGUUUUUUAAGUCUGAUGUGAAAGCCCUCGGCUUAACCGAGGAAGCGCAUCGGAAACUGGGAAACUUGAGUGCAGAAGAGGACAGUGGAACUCCAUGUGUAGCGGUGAAAUGCGUAGAUAUAUGGAAGAACACCAGUGGCGAAGGCGGCUGUCUGGUCUGUAACUGACGCUGAGGCUCGAAAGCAUGGGUAGCGAACAGGAUUAGAUACCCUGGUAGUCCAUGCCGUAAACGAUGAAUGCUAGGUGUUGGAGGGUUUCCGCCCUUCAGUGCCGCAGCUAACGCAUUAAGCAUUCCGCCUGGGGAGUACGACCGCAAGGUUGAAACUCAAAGGAAUUGACGGGGGCCCGCACAAGCGGUGGAGCAUGUGGUUUAAUUCGAAGCAACGCGAAGAACCUUACCAGGUCUUGACAUCUUUUGAUCACCUGAGAGAUCAGGUUUCCCCUUCGGGGGCAAAAUGACAGGUGGUGCAUGGUUGUCGUCAGCUCGUGUCGUGAGAUGUUGGGUUAAGUCCCGCAACGAGCGCAACCCUUAUGACUAGUUGCCAGCAUUUAGUUGGGCACUCUAGUAAGACUGCCGGUGACAAACCGGAGGAAGGUGGGGAUGACGUCAAAUCAUCAUGCCCCUUAUGACCUGGGCUACACACGUGCUACAAUGGAUGGUACAACGAGUUGCGAGACCGCGAGGUCAAGCUAAUCUCUUAAAGCCAUUCUCAGUUCGGACUGUAGGCUGCAACUCGCCUACACGAAGUCGGAAUCGCUAGUAAUCGCGGAUCAGCACGCCGCGGUGAAUACGUUCCCGGGCCUUGUACACACCGCCCGUCACACCAUGAGAGUUUGUAACACCCGAAGCCGGUGGCGUAACCCUUUUAGGGAGCGAGCCGUCUAAGGUGGGACAAAUGAUUAGGGUGAAGUCGU
rnacentral:rRNA from 1 species